rnacentral:rRNA from 1 species
GAUGAACGCUGGCGGCGUGCCUAAUACAUGCAAGUCGAGCGAACAGAUGAUGAGCUUGCUCCUCUGACGUUAGCGGCGGACGGGUGAGUAACACGUGGAUAACCUACCUAUAAGACUGGGAUAACUUCGGGAAACCGGAGCUACUACCGGAUAAUAUAUUCAACCGCAUGGUUCAAUAGUGAAAGACGGUUUUGCUGUCACUUAUAGAUGGAUCCGCGCCGCAUUAGCUAGUUGGUAAGGUAACGGCUUACCAAGGCAACGAUGCGUAGCCGACCUGAGAGGGUGAUCGGCCACACUGGAACUGAGACACGGUCCAGACUCCUACGGGAGGCAGCAGUAGGGAAUCUUCCGCAAUGGGCGAAAGCCUGACGGAGCAACGCCGCGUGAGUGAUGGAGGUCUUCGGAUCGUAAAACUCUGUUAUUGGGGAAGAACAAAUGUGUAAGUAACUAUGCACGUCUUGACGGUACCUAAACAGAAAGCCACGGCUAACUACGUG